AGUAAGGUGCCUGAUAAAAGGAUUAUCUUGAUAGGAUAAGUCAUGUAUUAAUAUACCCUUAUUA
rnacentral:tRNA from 1 species